ACGACGGUACCCGCCUGAAGGGUGACCGCCCCACUGGGAUUGGACCCGGCCCAGAUUCUUACGGGGAGCAGCAGGGGGAAUAUGCACAAUGGCGCAAGCCUGAUGCAGCAACCCGCGUGAGGACGACGGCCUUCGGGUUGUAACCUCUUUUAGCAGGAAGAAGCGAAAGUGACGGUACCUGCAGAAAAAGCACCGGCUAACUACGUGCCAGCAGCCGCGGUAAUACGUAGGGUGCAAGCGUUGUCCGGAAUUAUUGGGCGUAAAGAGCUCGUAGGCGGUUUGUCGCGUCUGCUGUGAAAACCCGAGGCUCAACCUCGGGCUUGCAGUGGGUACGGGCAGACUAGAGUGCGGUAGGGGAGAUUGGAAUUCCUGGUGUAGCGGUGGAAUGCGCAGAUAUCAGGAGGAACACCGAUGGCGAAGGCAGAUCUCUGGGCCGUAACUGACGCUGAGGAGCGAAAGCAUGGGGAGCAAACAGGCUUAGAUACCCUGGUAGUCCAUGCCGUAAACGUUGGGAACUAGAUGUGGGGACCAUUCCACGGUCUCCGUGUCGUAGCUAACGCAUUAAGUUCCCCGCCUGGGGAGUACGGCCGCAAGGCUAAAACUCAAAGGAAUUGACGGGGGCCCGCACAAGCGGCGGAGCAUGCGGAUUAAUUCGAUGCAACGCGAAGAACCUUACCAAGGCUUGACAUAUACCGGAAACGGCCAGAGAUGGUCGCCCCGCAAGGUCGGUAUACAGGUGGUGCAUGGUUGUCGUCAGCUCGUGUCGUGAGAUGUUGGGUUAAGUCCCGCAACGAGCGCAACCCUCGUCCUAUGUUGCCAGCACGUAAUGGUGGGAACUCAUGGGAUACUGCCGGGGUCAACUCGGAGGAAGGUGGGGAUGAGGUCAAAUCAUCAUGCCCCUUAUGUCUUGGGCUUCACGCAUGCUACAAUGGCCGGUACAAUGGGCUGCGAUACCGCAAGGUGGAGCGAAUCCCUAAAAGCCGGUCUCAGUUCGGAUUGGGGUCUGCAACUCGACCCCAUGAAGUCGGAGUCGCUAGUAAUCGUAGAUCAGCAACGCUACGGUGAAUACGUUCCCGGGCCUUGUACACACCGCCCGUCAAGUCAUGAAAGUCGGUAACACCCGGAAGCCAUUUGGCCUAACCUUUUGGACACAUCCUCGCCUC
rnacentral:rRNA from 1 species